CCACUGUUGAGAUGGGUCUGAAGGGGGCAUGGUGUUUCCCAUGGUGUGGGUGCCGGAGACAGCGGGGGACUGAAAGAGGAGCAGGCCUGAGUCCUGCUGCCCCUCCAGAUCCCAGUCCAGCUAUAGCCCCCAUCAUGGCUGAGGGAGGGGUAUCCUGGCCAGGGCCUGGUGCCUACUUCAGCAGGAAAGCCCGACUCUCCUUCCGCCACCAGCUGCAUGACAUAGCAUCGGCCAAUGACUCCACCAUUUGAAGGGGACAACGAAGAGCUGAACCUCCAGGAAGGCUUAGCAAGCUUCCUUCCCCAGAUUUCUCAGCGAUCCUAAUGUCCACCUCCCCAAGUCCUUUCUAACCUUCUCAUUAAAUGUGUUCAUAGUUGCUAA